UUACGGCCAUAUUACGUUGAAACACAAGUUCACGUACGAUCACCGAAGUUAAGCAACGUCGAGUCUGGUCAGUAUGUAGAUGGGUAACUGUUUGGCAAUACCAUGUCCUGUA